AGUGAACGCUGGCGGCAGGCCUAACACAUGCAAGUCGAACGGCAGCACAGUAAGAGCUUGUUCUUACGGGUGGCGAGUGGCGGAUGGGUGAGGAAUACAUCGGAAUCUACUUUUUCGUGGGGGAUAACGUAGGGAAACUUACGCUAAUACCGCAUACGACCUACGGGUGAAAGCAGGGGAUCUUCGGACCUUGCGCGAUCGAAUGAGCCGAUGUCGGAUUAGCUAGUUGGCGGGGUAAAGGCCCACCAAGGCGACGAUCCGUAGCUGGUCUGAGAGGAUGAUCAGCCACACUGGAACUGAGACACGGUCCAGACUCCUACGGGAGGCAGCAGUGGGGAAUAUUGGACAAUGGGCGCAAGCCUGAUCCAGCCAUACCGCGUGGGUGAAGAAGGCCUUCGGGUUGUAAAGCCCUUUUGUUGGGAAAGAAAAGCAGCAGGUUAAUACCCCGCUGUUCUGACGGUACCCAAAGAAUAAGCACCGGCUAACUUCGUG
rnacentral:rRNA from 1 species